rnacentral:rRNA from 1 species
UGGGUGAGUAACACGUAUCCAACCUGCCGUCUACUCUUGGACAGCCUUCUGAAAGGAAGAUUAAUACAAGAUGGCAUCAUGAGUCCGCAUGUUCACAUGAUUAAAGGUAUUCCGGUAGACGAUGGGGAUGCGUUCCAUUAGAUAGUAGGCGGGGUAACGGCCCACCUAGUCUUCGAUGGAUAGGGGUUCUGAGAGGAAGGUCCCCCACAUUGGAACUGAGACACGGUCCAA